rnacentral:rRNA from 1 species
UGGGGAAUCUUGCGCAAUGGGCGAAAGCCUGACGCAGCAACGCCGCGUGCGGGAAGAAGGCCUUCGGGUUGUAAACCGCUGUCAGGAGGGACGAAGCCACUCGGGUGAAUAGCCCAGAGGGUGACGGUACCUCCAAAGGAAGCCACGGCUAACUACGUGCCAGCAGCCGCGGUAAUACGUAGGGGGCAAGCGUUGUCCGGAAUUAUUGGGCGUAAAGAGCGUGUAGGCGGCUAGUCAAGUCCGGUGUGAAAUCUCGGGGCUCAACCCCGAAACUGCAUUGGAAACUGGCUUGCUAGAGUCCGGAAGAGGAGAUUGGAAUUCCUGGUGUAGCGGUGAAAUGCGCAGAUAUCAGGAAGAACACCCGUGGCGAAGGCGGAUCUCUGGGACGGUACUGACGCUGAGACGCGAAAGCGUGGGGAGCAAACA